rnacentral:rRNA from 1 species
AUUGAACGCUGGCGGCAGGCUUAACACAUGCAAGUCGAGCGAGCGGCGGACGGGUGAGUAAUGUAUGGGGACCGCCCGUUAGAGGGGGAUAACUACUGGAAACGGUGGCUAAUAACGCAUACUAUCGGUUAACCCAUAUGGGAUUAGCUAGUAGGUGGGGUAAAGGCUCACCUAGGGGACGAUCGCCAGCUGGUCUGAGAGGAGGAUCAGCCACCAUGGGAUUGGGAAACGGCCACGACUCCUACGGGGGCAGCAGUGGGGAAUAUUGCACAAGGGGCGCAAGCCGGAGGCUGCAAUGCGGCUUGGAUGAAAAAGGCCUUAGGGUUGUAAGUUCCGUUCAGCGGGGAGGCGUUACCCGCAGAAGAAGCAACGGCUAACUCCGUGCCAGCAGCCGCGGUAAUAC